rnacentral:rRNA from 1 species
UACGAAGGGUGCAAGCGUUACUCGGAAUUACUGGGCGUAAAGGGUGCGUAGGUGGUCGUUUAAGUCCGUUGUGAAAUCCCUGGGCUCAACCUGGGAAUGGCAGUGGAUACUGGACGGCUAGAAUGCGGUAGAGGGUAGUGGAAUUCCCGGUGUAGCAGUGAAAUGCGUAGAUAUCGUAAGGAAGACCAGUGGCGAAGGCGGGUCUCUGGACAGUUCCUGACGCUGAGGCACGAAGGUCAGGGAGCAAACGGG